UACGGAGGGGGCUAGCGUUGUUCGGAAUUACUGGGCGUAAAGCGCACGUAGGCGGUUUUGUAAGUUAGAGGUGAAAGCCCGGGGCUCAACUCCGGAAUUGCCUUUAAGACUGCAUCGCUAGAAUUGUGGAGAGGUAAGUGGAAUUCCGAGUGUAGAGGUGAAAUUCGUAGAUAUUCGGAAGAACACCAGUGGCGAAGGCGACUCACUGGACACGUAUUGACGCUGAGGUGCGAAAGCGUGGGGAGCAAACAGG
rnacentral:rRNA from 1 species